GGAGGCCGCAAGAGCAUUCAUGAGUCUGUGGAAAGCUGUCCUGGUGACAUCCUAUUUAUGGCUGUUUGGUCUCAGAUGAAUCACUGUCCCAUGUUCUAGUUUCUCCACUUGUCUGUGACAUGGGGACAAUCCAGGUCGGUCAGGGGGAGACACUUUCCCCCAUUUUCCCACCACACACUGUGUCACACACCACUGUUGCCAUGGCCACCAUCAGCUCUCAUACACUAUGAGCUCAGGAGCUCUGGGCUGAGGGCACAGCACAGAUUAUGCCUGAUUGAAUUCUCACAGCCCUGGGACAUAGGGUUACUGACUCCACUUUACAGAUGGGGAAGCUGAGCUUUAUAGAGCUCAGAUGACAUACCCAAUGCCACCUGCUAGGGAGGGGUGGGUGUAGGGCCCCCCAUGGCUAGGUCAAUCUGGUUCGGGGCUGGCAAACUUUUCCUACAAAAAAGUAAAUAUUUUAGGCUUUGUGGGUGCCAUAUGAUGUCUUGUCCUCUUCCUCCUCCCUCUCUUUAAACUUUGAAGAGUGUCAAAACCAUUCUUAGCUCAUGAGUGGAACACAAACAGGCUGGAUUUGGCUGACAGGCCAUGGCUUCCCGACCCCUCAUAACAGAAUUCACAGAUGACUUCGCCUUCCUCCUCUCAUCUGCAACGUUACUUGAUUUUACAUGGUUGAGAUUAUACGGAAUAUGCACAUUCAUAUCUCCUUUCACUUGACUUUAGUCUAUUUUAUUUACUUAUUCAUGAGAGACAUAGAGAGAAGCAGAGACAGGAGAAGAAGUCUCUAUGCAAGGAGCCCAAUAUAGGACUUGGUCCCAGGACUCCAGGAUUACGCCCUGAGCCGAAGGCAGACGCUCAACCACAGAGUCACCCAGGCAUCCCUUUCAUUUCAAAUAAUGUACUUUUAUACAGGAAGAAUUUUUAGAAUCCUUGUGUAUAAAAGCACAAUUUAUCGAAUUUAUAGGAUCCCAGGAAAAUCCACAGCCUCACUGGAAAUAUUAACUCAGAAAAGCCAGACAAUUUUUAAAUUUAUUAACUGAUCAAUUGCAUUUACUAUGUAAAAUACCUAGUAAAAUCACAGGGCUUGUACUGUCACAUGUAAAACUUGGUGGCAUGGCCUCUGACUUGGGAUUUCCUUAGGUAAUGGUCCUUGUAGUGAAUGGCCCAAUUCUAGGGAUGCUAUGUGGAGUCAGGGGUUGGGGGGCAGCCCCCAGUGUUCUCCUCACUCUGGCGGCCUACCCCCCAUGCCAGGGCGGUUUAUACAGCCCUCCGUGGGGCAGAUCAGGAGUCCCUGCUGCAUUCAACUAUGCUCCCCCUGGGUUGGAGAAAAUAGUCUUUAGUGUUCCAGUCGAGAGUGUCAUAAAAUAGACAUUCCAGUGUCAUUUUAGAAAUAGGCGGUGCUGAGUGUCCUAUCAGUUAUGGCCACAGAAUGCCAGAUGAUUGCAUGACCCUGGUCUGAUGUGACUGUCCUGUUGCAGAGCAAUCAUGUGACUUUCCUUGUGUAAUUUCCUUUGGCCAGAGUGGUGAGUGCUUUCUUUUUUAACCUCUGUGCUAACAAAUGGGAGAGCAGCUCAGAACUUCCUCAGAUACUGAGUAACGCUCUGCAGUUUCAGCUCUGAAGCUACUUUUUAAUAUUAUAUGCAAAUUAAACACCAUGGGGAGUUCAACAAACAUUUAUGGAGUGCUUACUAUGUGCCAUGCUCCGUGCCUAGCACUCUAGGAGACACCAGGAUGAGUUAGGCAUGGUCCUUGUUCUAGGAGAGCGAAGACUGGAGAAGAUAAGGCUUGAAGAUGAACGUGCACGACAAGAUGAGUCCCACUGGAAAUGUCAAGGGGCUCAAAGGCAGGAAAGUGGUUUCUAGUUGGGAAAGUGGGGGAUGAGGGAGUGAGGAAAGGUAAAUCAGCUCCUGGAAGAGUUACAGGUGUAGCCAAAGAAACAAGGACUUUGCAUCAGCUGGAA